AAGACUAUACUUUCAGGGAUCAUUUCUAUAGUUCGUCACUAGAGAAGUUUCUCUGAAUGUGCAGAACACUGAUGCAGCCAAAAGACACAUGCAAAAAUGCUCAUCAUCACUGGC
rfam:Pan troglodytes isolate Yerkes chimp pedigree #C0471 (Clint) chromosome 3, whole genome shotgun sequence.